GUUGUAUUUUACACUGCUAGAGUCUGUAUAGCCUGUGAAACUGGCGGUCUCUGUUUUGUUGGUUUUCCCGUGUUUUCUUUAUUUAAGAAAUUAAUAUGAUGAGCACGCAACCUGCUGCGCCUAGGUCCUCUCUCUCUCUCUCUCCUACGACAACUGUGACAGACCUAUAAACAGUCAGUUUUUUUACACUCAGCCUAAGAGCACUACAGAUAAAAUCAUUUUUUGGAAAGUGUACUACAUUGAUAACUUAAGUAGUUCCUUGUGUCCUCUAAUCACCUUCAUCUCAAAAUGUACAAAAGUCUGAAGGGGGACAAGCUCUUGAGCGCUGGCCAUCUAGAUCUGACGUCAAUCACAAGGGGCUCAUCUUCCACAAUCUCCUUUCUUCUUAAUGAGAAGGAGAUACUCAUCUUUAGCCAAGCUACUCACUCCUGCUUGGAAGCUGUUGAAUGCAGUAGAGGAGCUGCCAGAGCAUGGUCUUGAUCAGACCACUUCCUGAAAUUACCACUGAGUUCUAAAAUAAAUUGUGCUAGCACGACAAGGCUAAAGUAAAGAAAAAUAUGUUUGAUUGUAAACAUUAUACACUUUUGUUUAAUAAUUGAUUGAUUACUAGAAUUACAAGGAGCAAGUGCUAAAC
rnacentral:lncRNA from 1 species